rnacentral:rRNA from 1 species
GUGGUUAAGCUAAUAAGAGCACACGGAGGAUGCCUAGGCGCCAGGAGCCGACGAAGGACGUGGCGAACAACGAAACUGCCUCGGGGAGCUGUAAGCAAGCUUUGAUCCGGGGGUGUCCGAAUGGGGAAACCCGGCUGUGGUAAUUCACAGUCACUCAUACCUGAAUACAUAGGGUGUGAAGAGGCAGACCAGGGGAACUGAAACAUCUAAGUACCCUGAGGAAGAGAAAACAAUAGUGAUUCCGUCAGUAGCGGCGAGCGAACGCGGAACAGCCUAAACCAAGGAGCUUGCUCCUUGGGGUUGUGGGACGUCUCACAUGGAGUUACAAAGGAACCGGGUAGGCGAAGAGGUCUGGAAAGGCCCGCGAUAGAGGUAAAAGCCCUGUACCUCAAACAGCUUUCUCUCCGAG